rnacentral:rRNA from 1 species
GAUGAACGCUGGCGGCGUGCUUAACACAUGCAAGUCGAACGAAGCACUUUAUUUGAUUUCCUUCGGGACCGAUUAUUUUGUGACUGAGUGGCGGACGGGUGAGUAACGCGUGGGUAACCUGCCUUGUACAGGGGGAUAACAGUUGGAAACGGCUGCUAAUACCGCAUAAGCGCACAGCAUCGCAUGAUGCAGUGUGAAAAACUCCGGUGGUAUAAGAUGGACCCGCGUUGGAUUAGCUAGUUGGUGAGGUAACGGCCCACCAAGGCGACGAUCCAUAGCCGAACUGAGAGGGUGACCGGCCACAUUGGGACUGAGACACGGCCCAAACUCCUACGGGAGGCAGCAGUGGGGAAUAUUGCACAAUGGGCGAAAGCCUGAUGCAGCGACGCCGCGUGAGCGAAGAAGUAUUUCGGUAUGUAAAGCUCUAUCAGCAGGGAAGAUAAUGACGGUACCUGACUAAGAAGCACCGGCUAAAUACGUG